GUAUGCUAGGAGCUACGAAGCUAGCUCCGUUCGGCCAGCAGUUAUUUUUGCGCGCUGGGAGACGUUCGGUCGUUCAGUUUGAACCGGAUUGAGUUGGAAUGAAAAACGAAGCAGAAAUGAGUCGGAUAAAUGAGGAUGUGAAGCUGACCGGCUGGAUUAGGCGGAGAAGUUUCACCUGUCGGUGCGUCACCAAACCAAGGCCGGAGGACCGAGGAGCCUUAACGGUUUGGUGCUUGGGGGAAACAAAAGGCGAAACGCUGAGGAAACAGGCCCUGGACUGAGCUGUGGGGGAACCAGAUCCUGGAUACAAGAGCCGUCCAACAACCAGUUGCUGGUGAGACAACGGGAGGCCCCCAGCCGUGACCAACACAUGGUGCUCAACACGCACCGCCAGGACCCAUCUGAAAUUCCUCCUGAUGAAGUGAUUGGUCCAAUCCCGAUUUCUCGACCAAUGACGUCUGGAGAUGAGCGUUAGCCCCGCCCACGACUCUCCACUGAUCGGCAGAUCAAGUGACCGUUAUAAAACGCAGACAAGAGCAUCCAGGAAAUCUCCCCCAGGAAAACAGGCGGACAGACCCAACAAGGAGCCAGGAGGCCCCAGAGCAACAGCUGGCAGGUAGGAAGAGAGAGAGAGGGACAGAGAGAAGGAAGUAGAGAGGAAAAGGGGGGCGGCGUACAGACGACAGGCUGAAGAAAGGACUGGGUGACGCGCUGACUUCCUGGUUUCAGUCAGAACUCCAGCAGCAGCGUUCCUGAUCAGCUGAUUGAUCCAGAACGCCGGGGAGACGCUGCUGCUCUAACGAACCCAACCAAACAAAUGCAGGGACGAGUUUCUCUGGAUCAGAGGUGUCCGAAUGUUUUGCAUCAUUUAUCAGAAUCCCAAAGUUGAAAAUACU